UGCAGUCGACGGCAGCGCGGGGCACCUGGCGGCGAGUGCGAACGGGUGAGUAAUAUAUCGGAACGUACCCAAUAGUGGGGGAUAACGUACCGAAAGUUACGCUAAUACCGCAUACGAUCUAAGGAUGAAAGCAGGGGAUCUUCGGACCUUGUGCUCCUGGAGCGGCCGAUAUCUGAUUAGCUAGUUGGUGAGGUAAAGGCUCACCAAGGCCACGAUCAGUAGCUGGUCUGAGAGGACGACCAGCCACACUGGAACUGAGACACGGUCCAGACUCCUACGGGAGGCAGCAGUGGGGAAUUUUGGACAAUGGGCGAAAGCCUGAUCCAGCAAUGCCGCGUGAGUGAAGAAGGCCUUCGGGUUGUAAACCGCUUUUGUCAGGAAAGAAAAGUUUGGGGCGAAUACCUNCGAUGAUGACGUACCUGAAAUAAUAAGCACCGGCUAACUACGUGCCAGCAGCCGCGGUAAUACGUAGGUGCAAGCGUUAAUCAAUUACUGGCGUAAAGCGUGCGCGCGGUCGGAAAAAGAUGUGAAAUCCAGCUUACUUUGGACUGCUUUUUAACUACCGACUAAGUGGUCGAGGAGUGG
rnacentral:rRNA from 1 species